UGUAGCUGUUUCUUAUCUCACAGCACACACAUUGACCAGCAAACAGACUCUGAUGUUAAACGUGGGUUGACUUUCACUUUAUUCUCUUUCUCUGUAGCUUGGUUUCGUGAACUUACUGGACUACCCAGAACCGGACGUGUGCCUAAGGACGUCCAAAUUCAAUAAAAUCUAACAGAAAACAUGACCAUUGGCUGGACAAUCCUGGACUUUGACAGACUGGCAGUUAAGAAAAGACAUGGCUCAGCUGUGUCUGCACAAGAGGAACAUUACCACCCCCUGUUACUAAAUAUGAUCUGUUGAGGAAGCUGAGCCAAGUGCCUCCCGCCCAGUCCCGUGAAGAAUCAUCAAGGUGAUUGUUACGUACACUUAUCUUCAGACGGCAUCCUUCGCCUGUCAAGUCAGAAAGCGUGCAUGUGUAUAGAGGUCACCGUCUGAAUAUGUAAUAGAAGCAGACGUUCCUGGAGAUACAGUUAGCAGGACUCAGCGGGGGUUGAGAGUGUUGCAGUAAUCAGGGUUGAGAUGGUGCUCGUUAUAUUUGGCAACUUGCUGGUGGUGGCACAAAUGGAGUGAGUGUGCCUUCAAUUUUAAUGUCUGCUGAAUGAGAGUGGUGGUGAGGUGAGAUUGCAGUGGCACGUAAGUAAUUCCUUGCAGGUUGAUUUUAGUUACAUUUGUAUCCUGCUAGAAUUUCAAAUGAACCAUUUAUAUAUUCACCUUGCCCUCCACCAACAUCUUAUCUAGCCGUCCCUGGUGACAUGUUGCCUGAGGUGUUGACACCUAUGAUUUGACCUCUAAGAGAUCCCUUUUCCCCAAGAUGUUAUUCACCCUGCAGGGCGUUAUGUUAUGUUCCAUAUUACAACUGUAAUGGCCUGGUAUAAUGGGAUAACAGUACAUAUACAGUACCAGUCAAAAGUUUGGACACCUACUCAU